rnacentral:rRNA from 1 species
UACAGAGACUGCAAGCGUUAUUCGGAUUCACUGGGCGUAAAGGGUGCGCAGGCGGCGCGGUAAGUCGGGUGUGAAAUCUUGGAGCUUAACUCCGAAACUGCAUUCGAUACUGCCGUGCUUGAGGACUGGAGAGGAGACUGGAAUUUACGGUGUAGCGGUGAAAUGCGUAGAUAUCGUAAGGAAGACCAGUGGCGAAGGCGGGUCUCUGGACAGUUCCUGACGCUGAGGCACGAAGGCCAGGGGAGCAAACGGG